UGCAGUCGAACGGUGAAGGCGGAGCUUGCUCUGCUGGAUCAGUGGCGAACGGGUGAGUAACACGUGAGCGAUCUGCGCCUGACUCUGGGAUAAGCGCUGGAAACGGCGUCUAAUACUGGAUACGAGCUGCGAAGGCAUCUUCAGCAGCUGGAAAGAAUUUCGGUCAGGGAUGAGCUCGCGGCCUAUCAGCUUGUUGGUGAGGUAACGGCUCACCGAGGCGUCGACGGGAAGCCGGCCUGAGAGGGUGACCGGCCACACUGGGACUGAGACACGGCCCAGACUCCUACAGGAGGCAGCAAUGGGGAAUAUUGCACAAUGGGCGAAAGCCUGAUGCAGCGACGCCGCGUGAGGGACGACGGCCUUCGGGUUGUAAACCUCUUUUAGCAGGGAAGAAGCGAAAGUGACGGGACCUGCAGAAAAAGCGCCGGCUAACUACGUGCCAACAGCCGCGGUAAUACGUAGGGCGCAAGCGUUAUCCGGAAUUAUUGGGCGUAAAGAGCUCGUAGGCGGUUUGUCGCGUCUGCUGUGAAACCCCGAGGCUCGACCUCGGGCCUGCAGUGGGUACGGGCAGACUAGAGUGCGGUAGAGGAGAUUGGAAUUCCUGGUGUAGCGGUGGAAUGCUCAAAUUCAUGAGGACACCGAUGGCGAAGGAGAUCUCUGGACCGAACUGACGCUGACGACUAAAGGGUGGGGAGCAACAGGCUUAUAUCCCUGGGAGUCCCCCCGUAACGUUGGGACUAGUUGUGGGGUCAUUCCACGGAUUGCUGACGCAGUAACCUUUAAGUUCCCGCCUGGAGAUACGGCCGAAGGCUAAACUCAAGGAAUGACGGGAC
rnacentral:rRNA from 1 species